UCCUCACCGGUGAAGUGGCUUCCAGCCGAAUUGGGUGCUGCUCCUCCUGCAGUUCCAGCUCAGGAUUGUUUCCCAUUCCAGGUUCACUCCAGACAAACCCCUAGAUCCUUAUCGUCGUUGCUUCGCUCGUGCACUCCGAGCUGUUUUGCCUAUCCCCGCUGCCAUCCUGCUCUCCGCGUGUUCUACUUUGCGGUGCACACACACACACACAGAGACGAAGAAAAUCUGAGCUCGUCCUAACACACUACCACCGCUUACGUCUGCUCUACAUCCCCCUGACGAGCAAAACUUUUCGAGAGAGUGAUCGCCGUCUCUUUCUUCCUGCAUGUGGACUCCUCUUUCGAACAAUCUAUUGUGUCAUCAAUCGUCUUCAUCGUUGAUAUUUCUUGUUCGCAUCCUUCUCUGCAUUGGGCGGCAGUUUGCAAUCAAGAUUGAGGGGACACUCGGACGGAGCCUUGCAGAUUUGAUGAUAUUGUUAAAUCUGGAGGCUGUCCCAUCGUCUUGGUUCACCAGCUUUGGAUUGUAUAAGAUUGCUACAAGAUGGAGCACGGGGUGGUUUGGUGUUACACGAGGAGCUGACUUGCAGCUCAGCCCUCAGCCAGCGGAACCCUGUGCGCCAUUGUCUUUGUGCUCUUCAUUGCAGCGGACAGGAUCUUCCACAAUUGUUUUUUACAGGACUCGCUCUCACAGAAGCCAAUCCAAAUGGAAACUUAUUGACAGCUGUAGGAAAAUUCAUGUUAUAAAGCGACCGAUUAAAGUAUGGAACUAAGGAACGUCAAGGCUUUCAUAAGACGCUCCAUGCGCACAGUGCGAGCUGACUCAGCUGCACUUUGUCCACUCUUUGGCUGCACAGAUGAUUUCAAAGCAACCCUCGGACGUGUCUAAAUACAUCAAUGAAACUAUAUGGAACAAUUCUUUACUUUUGCAUAGAGUUGUUACAGUUCCAUGAUCACUCCACUCCUCCUUCUCAAGCCAAUUGCAAAGGACUACUACCGCAGGAAACAAUUGGCUGCAGUAUGGAACUCAUCCGUUCUUGUGCAAUUGGCUCAACACACUCCUUCAUGAAUUGGAAUGCAAAUAAAAUGGCUUGUAUCACAAACGGCGGUUUAUCUCUGGUCCAUAUGAAUUGCAACUGCUCUACUUUUCUAAUUUUUGUGGAAUUCGGUGCUGGACAUGGAGUUGUGGUGUUGAUUCGUCUCAAAGGGCCAGGCUGGGUAUUUGCAUGAGCAGUCGUACAGGGAAGAGGCAGAUGACUGAGCUGCAGAGACAAUAAUAUAAAUAAAGCCUGCAGGUUGUUGCCUGCCUGCCUACG